CUUCUCAUUUCAAUCUCUGUUUAUAAAACCCACCAUUUAUGUAUUCAAGUAGCUAGGUAGCUUCUGUUUAAUUUUGCAAACUCCUAUUGGGAUGUUGCACUCACUGCAACCCUAUUUUUUUCCAUUUCAAAACUCGGGUACAAGAGAAGACGAUGGCAUAUAUGGCGACUAUAUCUUGCCUCGAUCAUUGGAACGGGUGGACUCGGAAUAAUAGUUGUGGUUUGGGAUGCUAAUCUGCUUGGUUUAGCCGCGGCUAGUGGUUACAUACGGUUCAACCGGUAGCUGAUUCAGACUCUUUUUAGGGUGGUUGAACACACGAAUUAAAGGUUGGAUCUUGAUUGAUGGUAUUGAUAUUUUGAAGAUUGGGCUGCAUGAUUUGAGGUCUAAAUUGGAGAUAAUUCCACAAGAUCCAACUUUGUUUCAAGGAACUAUGAGGACUAAUCUUGAUCCAUUAGAAGAACAUUCGGAUUGUGAGAUUUGGUAGGUGUUAAACAAGAGCCAGCUUGCAGAUAUUGUAAGACAGGAUAAAUUUACUCGAUUGUAAAAUUGUCAGCAAAAUAUAAAGUAAAUUUUGGACUAUGA